UGGUGGAGUGAUUUGUCUGGUUAAUUCCGUUAACGAACGAGACCUUGACCUGCUAACUAGUCACGAUAAGUGUUGGUUCUCCGCAAGGGGAAUCUUGCUUGUCGGUCGAUCUUCUUAGAGGGACAAUCUGUGUUUCCAGCAGAUGGAAGUGCGAGGCAAUAACA
rnacentral:rRNA from 1 species